GCGAGCCGGGUGCAUUGAGAGGUGCAUGCCCGGUUCUGAGAGAGGACUGCGCAAACCUGCCGCCGAAAGGCGGUAAGGCGGCGCUUUCCUACUCUAC
rnacentral:ncRNA from 1 species